UACAGAGGGGGCAAGCGUUAUUCGGAAUUAUUGGGCGUAAAGGGCGCGUAGGCGGCUUUGCAAGUGACGGGUGAAAUCCCUCGGCUUAACCGAGGAACUGCCUGUCAGACUGCAUGGCUUGAGACCGGGAGAGGUGAGUGGAAUUCCCAGUGUAGCGGUGAAAUGCGUAGAUAUUGGGAGGAACACCAGUGGCGAAGGCGAGUCUCUGGACGAUACCUGACGCUGAGGCACGAAAGCCAGGGGAGCAAACGGG
rnacentral:rRNA from 1 species